rnacentral:rRNA from 1 species
AUACGUAGGUGACAAGCGUUAUCCGGAUUUACUGGGCGUAAAGGGCGUGUAGGCGGUCUUGCAAGUCAGAAGUGAAAUUCCUGAGCUCAACUCGGGCGCUGCUUCUGAAACUGCAGGACUUGAGUGCUGGAGGGGAUAGCGGAAUUCCUAGUGGAGCGGUAAAAUGCGCAGAUAUUAGGAAGAACACCGGUGGCGAAGGCGGCUAUCUGGACAGUAACUGACGCUGAGGCGCGAAAGCGUGGGGAGCAAACAGGAUUAGAUACCCUGGUAGUCCACGCCAUAAACGAUGAAUACUAGGUGUAGGGGGUAUCGACCCCCUCUGUGCCGACGUUAACACAUUAAGUAUUCCACCUGGGGAGUACGGCCGCAAGGUUGAAACUUAAAGGAAUUGACGGGG